rnacentral:rRNA from 1 species
UACGUAUGUCCCAAGCGUUAUCCGGAUUUAUUGGGCGUAAAGCGAGCGCAGACGGUUAUUUAAGUCUGAAGUGAAAGCCCUCAGCUCAACUGAGGAAUUGCUUUGGAAACUGGAUGACUUGAGUGCAGUAGAGGAAAGUGGAACUCCAUGUGUAGCGGUGAAAUGCGUAGAUAUAUGGAAGAACACCAGUGGCGAAGGCGGCUUUCUGGACUGUAACUGACGUUGAGGCUCGAAAGUGUGGGUAGCAAACAGGAUUAGAUACCCUGGUAGUCCACACCGUAAACGAUGAGUGCUAGCUGUUCGAGGGUUUCCGCCCUUGAGUGGCGUAGCUAACGCAUUAAGCACUCCGCCUGGGGAGUACGACCGCAAGGUUGAA